CUACGGGGUGCUGCAGUAAGGAAUAUUGCACAAUGGGCGAAAGCCUGAUGCAGCAACGCCGCGUGAGCGAUGAAGCCUCUAGGGGUGUAAAGCUCUUUUCUGUGGGACGAGGAAGGACGGUACCACAGGAAUAAGUCUCGGCUAACUACGUGCCAGCAGCCGCGGUAAUACGUAGGAGACGAGCGUUAUCCGGAUUUAUUGGGCGUAAAGAGCAUGUAGGCGGGCUCUCAAGUCGGACGUGAAAUCUCUCGGCUCAACUGGGAGGGGUCGUUCGAAACUAGGAGUCUUGAGGGCAGGAGAGGGGAGUAGAAUUCCCGGUGUAGUGGUGGCAUACGUAGAUAUCGGGAGGAAUACCAGUGGCGAAGGCGGCUCCCUGGCCUGUGCCUGACGCUGAGAUGCGAAAGCGUGGGUAGCGAACGGGAUUAGAUACCCUAGUAGUC
rnacentral:rRNA from 1 species